rnacentral:rRNA from 1 species
AAACGACUCUCGGCAACGGAUAUCUCGGCUCACGCACCGAUGAAGAACGUAGCAAAAUGCGAUACUUGGUGUGAAUUGCAGAAUCCCGUGAACCAUCGAGUUUUUGAACGCAAGUUGCGCCCGAAGCCAUCCGGUUGAGGGCACGCCUGCCUGGGCGUCACG